AGGCUGUCUCCACCCGAGACUCAGUGAAAUUGAACUCGCUGUGAAGAUGCAGUGUACCCGCGGCAAGACGGAAAGACCCCGUGAACCUUUACUAUAGCUUGACACUGAACAUUGAGCCUUGAUGUGUAGGAUAGGUGGGAGGCUUUGAAGUGUGGACGCCAGUCUGCAUGGAGCCGACCUUGAAAUACCACCCUUUAAUGUUUGAUGUUCUAACGUGGACCCGUGAUCCGGGUUGCGGACAGUGUCUGGUGGGUAGUUUGACUGGGGCGGUCUCCUCCUAAAGAGUAACGGAGGAGCACGAAGGUUGGCUAAUCCUGGUCGGACAUCAGGAGGUUAGUGCAAUGGCAUAAGCCAGCUUGACUGCGAGCGUGACGGCGCGAGCAGGUGCGAAAGCAGGUCAUAGUGAUCCGGUGGUUCUGAAUGGAAGGGCCAUCGCUCAACGGAUAAAAGGUACUCCGGGGAUAACAGGCUGAUACCGCCCAAGAGUUCAUAUCGACGGCGGUGUUUGGCACCUCGAUGUCGGCUCAUCACAUCCUGGGGCUGAAGUAGGUCCCAAGGGUAUGGCUGUUCGCCAUUUAAAGUGGUACGCGAGCUGGGUUUAGAACGUCGUGAGACAGUUCGGUCCCUAUCUGCCGUGGGCGCUGGAGAACUGAGGGGGGCUGCUCCUAGUACGAGAGGACCGGAGUGGACGCAUCACUGGUGUUCGGGUUGUCAUGCCAAUGGCACUGCCCGGUAGCUAAAUGCGGAAGAGAUAAGUGCUGAAAGCAUCUAAGCACGAAACUUGCCCCGAGAUGAGUUCUCCCUGAGACUUAGAGUCUCCUGAAGGAACGUUGAAGACGACGACGUUGAUAGGCCGGGUGUGUAAGCGCAGCGAUGCGUUGAGCUAACCGGUACUAAUGAACCGUGAGGCUUAACCUUACA
rnacentral:rRNA from 1 species